GGAAGAGAAGGGGAGGAACAGUGGAUAUGUGGCUCUGAGUUGUCCAGGUUCCUGUCUGUCACACCACUCCAUCAUUUUUGUACACUUUAUCCCCAAAUCAGAGGCAGAACAGAGUUCAAGCCUGCCAUUUGAUGAAAAGGGUCAAUUCUUUCAACUAGUCCUGAGAAGUGGGAAGGCCACAGGUAUGAAACAGAGAAGGCACAUUUGAAACAGCUGAAUCUUCCUCCUCAUCUUAGGGAGUCAUAGGUGGGUAACACAAUGAGGGGUGGGGAAUGGUGGGGCAUGGCUACAUCUGAGUAAAAAGGGAUCAACUGGGUCGAGGGGCAGUUCUAUACCUUCCUAGACAAACCCAGAAUUACUUCAGGAAAAUCUAAGUCAAGCCUCAAAAAAGUUCAUUUAACUUUAGUGAAUUAUUAUGCCUUCUCCCAAUGCCAGGGAGAAGACCCUGGUUCUCAAAGACCAUGCCAGGGAAGCACAAGUGUUGGCAGAUCUCAAGAAGCUGAAAAGCCUUCAAGGAGGACGUUGGUGACGGGCUGUACAUCUGUCAUCCAAGGACUAGGUUCAGUGGAGUGUGGUCAAAUUCAUCACCAAUAUAUUAGCACAGAGAAUCUUAGAAUCUCAGCAUUAGAAGAGAUGUCAGAGAACACCUAGCCCAAACCACACUUGAAUGAAAAUCUCUUGUAUAACUGCAUU